rnacentral:rRNA from 1 species
CCUGACUGCUAUCGGAUUGAUACUAAGCCAUGUGAGUCAUUGUAGCAAUACAAGGCAGACGGCUCAGUAACACGUAGCCAAUCUACCCUAUGGACGGGGAUAACCUCGGGAAACUGAGGAUAAACCCCGAUAGAUCAUUAUGCCUGGAAAGGUUUAUGGUUAAAAUGAUUCGUCGCCGUAGGAUGGGACUGCGGCCUAUCAGCUUGUUGGUGAGGUAAUGGCCCACCAAGGCUAUUACAGGUACGGGCUCUGAGAGGAGAAGCCCGGAGAUGGGUACUGAGACACGGACCCAGGCCCUAUGGGGCGCAGCAGGCGAGAAAACUUUGCAAUGUGCGAAAGCACGACAAGGUUAAUCCGAGUGGUUCCUGCUAAAGGAAUCUUUUGUUAGUCAUAAUACCACUGAUGAAUAAGGGGUGGGCAAGUUCUGGUGUCAGCCGCCGCGGUAAAACCAGCACCUCAAGUGGUCAGGAGGAUUAUUGGGCCUAAAGCAUCCGUAGCCGGCUUUGUUAGUUUUCGGUUAAAUCCAUAUGCUCAACGUAUGGGCUGCCGGGAAUACUACACAGCUAGGGAGUGGGAGAGGUAGACGGUACUCCGUAGGAAGGGGUAAAAUCCUUUGAUCUAUGGAUGACCACCUGUGGCGAAGGCGGUCUACCAGAACACGUCCGACGGUGAGGGAUGAAAGCUGGGGGAGCAAACCGGAUUAGAUACCCGGGUAGUCCCAGCUGUAAACAAUGCAAACUCAGUGAUGCAUUGGCUUGUGGCCAGUGCAGUGCCGCAGGGAAGCCGUUAAGUUUGCCGCCUGGGAAGUACGUACGCAAGUAUGAAACUUAAAGGAAUUGGCGGGGGAGCACCACAAGGGGUGAAGCCUGCGGUUC